UGGGGAAUAUUGCACAAUGGGCGCAAGCCUGAUGCAGCCAUGCCGCGUGUAUGAAGAAGGCCUUCGGGUUGUAAAGUACUUUCAGCGGGGAGGAAGGGAGUAAAGUUAAUACCUUUGCUCAUUGACGUUACCCGCAGAAGAAGCACCGGCUAACUCCGUGCCAGCAGCCGCGGUAAUACGGAGGGUGCAAGCGUUAAUCGGAAUUACUGGGCGUAAAGCGCACGCAGGCGGUCUGUUAAGUCAGAUGUGAAAUCCCCGGGCUCAACCUGGGAACUGCAUCUGAUACUGGCAAGCUUGAGUCUCGUAGAGGGGGGUAGAAUUCCAGGUGUAGCGGUGAAAUGCGUAGAGAUCUGGAGGAAUACCGGUGGCGAAGGCGGCCCCCUGGACGAAGACUGACGCUCAGGUGUGAAAGCGUGGGGAGCAAACA
rnacentral:rRNA from 1 species